UCUUGGUCAUUUAGAGGAAGUAAAAGUCGUAACAAGGUCUCCGUUGGUGAACCAGCGGAGGGAUCAUUAUAGAGUUUUAUAACUCCCAACCCUUUGUGAACUUACCUAUGUUGCCUCGGCGGGGCCUACCCGGUAGCUCUCCCUUUUGGGAGGACUUACCCUGUAGCCCGCCGGUGGAUUUUCAAACUCUUGUUAUUUUAACUAUAUCUGAGCGUCUUAUUUUAAUAAGUCAAAACUUUCAACAACGGAUCUCUUGGUUCUGGCAUCGAUGAAGAACGCAGCGAAAUGCGAUAAGUAAUGUGAAUUGCAGAAUUCAGUGAAUCAUCGAAUCUUUGAACGCACAUUGCGCCCAUUAGUAUUCUAGUGGGCAUGCCUGUUCGAGCGUCAUUUCAACCCUUAAGCCUAGCUUAGUGUUGGGAGUCUACGAAGUGGUAACUUGUUAUCCUGUAGUUCCCUAAAUCAAACGGCGGAUCUGCAGUAUCCUCUGAGCGUAGUAAAUUUUUAUCUCGCUUUUGUUAGGUGCUGUGGCUCUUGCCGCUAAACCCCCAA
rnacentral:rRNA from 1 species